rnacentral:lncRNA from 1 species
CGCAUUACCCCCCAAACAAACAGCGGAGGUCUGAGAAAGUACAUAGGCCACUUUGUUGCUGAAGCAAGCUGGGGCUGCAGAGCCCCCCAGCUAAAAAUCACAUGUGGCUGGGAGUGUUUUCCAGGGCUGCGGGGCUCUUUCCUUUCUUCCUUCCCCAUUAAACCCCUCUGCUCUUCUUGGCAAGGGCCUUCAGGUGAGGUUUAAGCCAUGUCCUUAUGGUCAGCGCUGAUGGAGGAGCAGCAGGCAGAGGAGCAGAGUGAGUUACAUUUAGAAGCAUGCCCAGGGAAUGUCAUGCAAGAGGAGAUGAACUCAAAGCUCCAUGAGACUGCCUUUUCUUCAGAGACCCACAGCACAGCUACUUCCUCAAGAGAAAGAAGCCCAGUGUUUCCUGUGUCAGACCCAUCGCACGGCAAUUUCAUGAAAUACUCUAUGACAAAUGGAAAGCUCUCUGUCAACAAAUUUUGAAUAUGAUGUACAUGCUGUUCUGGGCUAUGGGAAACAUUAGAAUAUCUGAACUUCUUGGCUCUGAAGUCAAGAAAUUACUAACUCCUUUUUUUUUUUUUUUUUUUUUUUUGGAGGGGGAUCCAACCCAGGGCCUCGUGUAUGCUAGACAAGCACUCUACCACUGAGCCACAUCCCC